GGAUGCGAUAAUACCAACACUAAAGCACUGGAUCCCAUCAGAAUUCCAAAGUUAAGCAUGCUUGGGCGAGAGUGGUACCAGGAUGGGUGACCUCCUGGGAAGUCCUCGUGUUGCAUUCC
rfam:Triticum aestivum genome assembly, contig: Triticum_aestivum_CS42_TGACv1_scaffold_424752_5BS